rnacentral:rRNA from 1 species
AGUGAACGCUGGCGGUAGGCCUAACACAUGCAAGUCGAACGGCAGCACAGUAAGAGCUUGCUCUUACGGGUGGCGAGUGGCGGACGGGUGAGGAAUACAUCGGAAUCUACUUUUUCGUGGGGGAUAACGUAGGGAAACUUACGCUAAUACCGCAUACGACCUACGGGUGAAAGCAGGGGAUCUUCGGACCUUGCGCGAUUGAAUGAGCCGAUGUCGGAUUAGCUAGUUGGCGGGGUAAAGGCCCACCAAGGCGACGAUCCGUAGCUGGCCUGAGAGGAUGAUCAGCCACACUGGAACUGAGACACGGUCCAGACUCCUACGGGAGGCAGCAGUGGGGAAUAUUGGACAAUGGGCGCAGGCCUGAUCCAGCCAUACCGCGUGGGUGAAGAAGGCCUUCGGGUUGUAAAGCCCUUUUGUUGGGAAAGAAAAGCAGCAGGUUAAUACCCCGCUGUUCUGACGGUACCCAAAGAAUAGGCACCGGCUAACUUCGUG